CAUAGCUCCAACCAUCAAAGCCGCUCCACUUAAUUAUCUCAAAAUGGCCCACGGCGACAAUGACGACCAUGAUAUUAAAAGUUCGGCCUCGGCCCCGGCCCCAGCCUCAUCCGCUGCCGCCAGUGUGAAAAUAUCCUCCUCCGGACUCUCCAGUUCUCAAAAUUCAACCUCAGGACAUGGUCCUGGAUAUUCGUAAUCUCACUUGAUUAGAGAGAUUAGAUGUGUCUGCUGCCCACCAUCCAUAUAUAGUCCCUUCAAACAUCAUCUUUUUUCUAGAGUUGGUACGGACCAAAUGAUGAAGAAAUGAAAAAGGAAGGCUAACUGUAGCGUUUGUACAUCGUUGGCUGCUUUGGAGGUUAUGGGGAGUCAGGCAGACGGUGGGGCUUACCGGAGUGAAGCGGGUUCGUCGACAUGCUGAAAAUGUCGUAUCGACGAGACUCAACGAAAUGGACUUACCAACACACCUGAAAUUAUGAAUCCUUUUAUGGUUAAUUAUUUACAUGAAUUAUUUAUAUGGAGAUAGAUGCUUAUUGUUGACUA